GUACAAUCUCAGGUGUGUAAUGUGUGUGUGGUACAGAGCAGAGGCUGAGUGUCCCCUGCUCUCCCCAGGGAACAGCUGUGUUCUGGUACAAUCUCUUCCCAAGUGGAGAAGGUGAUUACAGCACGAGACAUGCAGCCUGCCCAGUGCUAGUGGGAAAUAAAUGGGUGUCCAACAAGUGGCUCCACGAGCGGGGGCAGGAGUUCCGCCGGCCGUGCACGUUAUCGGAGCUGGAGUGAUUCUCCCGUGGGGAAUGCACCACCUGCCAGUUUACAGCUAACAAACACUCCACUACAGCUUCCACUACAGCUGUGGACAGGACAAACGUGCUUUUAGUUCCCUCCAAUCCCUCCCCUAAAGGUUUAUUGACAGAAAAUACCGAGGUUGACAAGUGUUACUGAAAAAAAAAAAAAGGACAAAAUACAGACGAGGGCCACAACUUACAGUGGUGUUGUGUGUGGUGUUCCUGUCACCAUCAUCCCUCUGAGCAGUGUGGGCAGCCAGGGGUUGUCUGGAGUCCUCCUCACACCUGCCAGGCUUAGGGCAGGGUGAUUUCCUGGGAGGAAUGCUGAAUUCCUUCUAAGGAAUGCUGAAUUAAACCCAUUCCUAUUCCUCAAUUCCCAGACACUCGACCCUGCUUUCCUGGAGUGCCUGACCACCGCAGGCAUGCUUUGUUUUUUUUUCUCUGGAAAACAGGUUAUUAGCAUGUUUUAGCCUGGUUUUCCACUUCUACAAAAGCCCCACUUCUUAAACUUGUCUUCCUUCUCAGCCUGUGUGUAGAAAUUCCACAGGCAGAGUCAGGAUGCUUCCACAGUGUCAGAGCAGCCUGGGAACACCCACAGCCCAUCUUCCCUCCUCUUCUGCAACGUUUGUCCACAUGAACAAAUGCUGCUUUUGUUCUGUCCUGGCAGCCAGCUCUUCCCUCUGCUCCUUAUUCCCAUCUUCAUUAAUCAAAAUUGUCGUGCCUUAGGACACUGGAAUUUCAAAUUGGUUCUGAGACUUCAGGUGCUGAGGUAACACAGAGUCCUCACAGAAUGCUCCCCCCUCAUCCUCCUCCCAGCUCUCCAGGUUUCUGGAGAAACUCUCAGCCUAUUUAUAGUUCCUGAAGCUUUUUUAGAUAACAGGCUUGCUUUCCUGAGCCCUUUCCCUUCCACAGCAGGAUUUUUAGCAAAAUAUCCAAAUACCUCACUAGCAUGAGGACAAAAAUCAAAGGAAGCUGCACCUGCCUCUACCUAAACAGUCCAGUUUUCUGGAUGAUGAUGAUUUUACUGAUUUAGGGGUCAAGCCUGAAGUCUUUACCAAGGGAAAAAUUCCAAUUUUGGUUAAUUGGAUUGUCUGCCUCAAUCAAAUCUUGACAAUUGAGCCAAAACAUACAAAACCUAUUGUUAAACAUGCUAGAAAUACCUCUGGAUUACUGGGAAUGCAGUUUAAGGUACUAUAGUUGGAGGAACUGCAUACUUUCAGAAGACACUUGACAAGGUUUUUGCUGGAAAAUGAUUGUUAAAUUUCUACUGAGCCUGGUAGCAGUGGGACCCACAGAACUGCCCCUCCUCAGCCCUGCACCUUCCUGAAUUUUGCCUGGCUUUUGGCAGCUGGAAAACAAGGUCCAUCCAUAAUGUAAGAACACAAAAAGUCUGCACGCUCCCACCUCACAUUUGUACUGCUCCUUUUCCAAGAGCAGGGGCUGAUCUAAAUAAAUUUACCCCAGAACAGCAUUAGCAGGGCUGAUCU